GCCCGGAUGGCGGAAUUGGUAGACGCGCUGGAUUCAAAAUCCAGUUCCCGCAAGGGAGUGAGGGUUCGACCCCCUCUCCGGGCACCA
rnacentral:tRNA from 1 species